rnacentral:rRNA from 1 species
CUUAGAUCGGGUUGUUUGGGAAUGCAGCCCAAAUCGGGCGGUAAAUUCCGUCCAAGGCUAAAUAUUGGCGAGAGACCGAUAGCAAACAAGUACCGCGAGGGAAAGAUGAAAAGGACUUUGAGAAAAGAGUCAAAGAGUACUUGAAAUUGUCGGGAGGGAAGCGGAUGGGGGCCGGCGGUGCGCCUUGGUCGGAUGUGGAACGGUGCAAGCCGGUCUGCCAAUCGACUCAGGGCGCGGACCGACGCGGAUUGCGGCGGCGGCCCAAGCCUGAGCCUUUGUUGUGCUUGCGGAGACGUCGUCGGCGCGAUCGUGGCUGGCAGCGCGCGCCAUUAGGCGUGCUUCGGCAUCGGCGCGCUCCGGGCGUCGGCCUGCGGGUUCCCCAUUCGGCCCGUCUUGAAACACGGACCAAGGAGUCUGACAUGUGUGCGAGUCAACGGGCCAGUAAACCCGUGAGGCGCAAGGAAGCUGACUGGCGGGAUCCCCUAGCGGGUUGCACCGCCGACCGACCUUGAUCUUCUGAGAAGGUUCGAGUGAGAGCAUGCCUGUCGGGACCGAAAGAUGGUGAACUAUGCCUGAGCG